AGCCCCGUAGUGUAGCGGCCAAGCAUAGGGGACUCUGGAUCCCUUGACCCAGGUUCAAAUCCUGGCGGGGCUA
rnacentral:tRNA from 2 species